GCAUCAUUCUGUAAAACACUUUGGAAUGAAUGAGAAAUUUCUUUUGCUGAUGCUCAGUUCCAGCUACAGAAAACUCUGCCAAAGUCAUCUUUCCUAGAGCUUUUCCCUCACCACCUAGUUCCUUCCAAUUAUGGAAGCCUUCUGAGUAGUGCCAUCCACCAUCGAGCUCUUCAUCCGCACAUCAUCUUGAAUCAGUUCAUUUUCACCAUCACUGGUUCAUUGAGAAUUCUUCCGCUGCCGCAUCUUCAUCCAACACCCAUCUCCAUAUUCACCUCCAAGCUGGAGCACGUCAUCAUUUGGUUAUCAGAGCUUUGGUUCGUGUGAAUCAUGCUCCAGAUAAGUUCCAUUUCUAAUUCGUUCCAUACUGUCAUUAACACUUCUUUCAUGUGCUUCACUGUUCACUGUUCUAUUGAUUCUCUUAAAUUCCAUAGGUUCCUUUGAGUCACUUGUUUGAUCCAACUUUGAUUUGAUUUGGUCUUAGCAUUUUAAUCGGUUCAUUUCAUAGAUUUGAGUUUUUUAUUUUUUAAAUCCUGCUGCUGUUUGUCUAAGUCAUGUUCAUUGUUGUUUCCAUUAUGUCCAAUUUCCAAGUUCAACCGUGUGUGGAUAAAUCUGCAUAGUUGAUUGGAGUAAUUCAAUAAAAGCUUCGUGCAUCUUGAAUCUCCUCAACAAAGCAGUACCAGAGGUUGACAAAGUAUAACUAUUUCAAAUUUGAAUUUUGGGUUGCAUCAGGUGGAAAAGUGUUAUCCGCACAAUCAAUUGCUAUUUGUGUGCUUGUGAGUGUUGGAUAUGAUGCAAUAGGAGGAAAAUGCAUACCACAAAAUAUGAUUAAGAUAUUAUAGUGGAGAGCAUUACUCUACAAAUUCCAAAUCUAUUACACAGCAGCUUGAACCGUGCUCCAUACAUCUUUGCAGAGAGUCUUUGUAAUUAUUAUUUUUAAUCGGUCCAGCUGUAGUAUCCUUGUCUGGACUUCUUCAUAAUUCUAUAGAGUUUGUGUUCAACUUAGCUUGCUUUUUGGAUUCAUCAAAUUGUGUUUCAUAUUUGUUUGAAGCAUUAGGAUGAAUUUCCAUGUGUGUAUGGAUCAUUUUUGGUUGAAUUGAGCAACCUAUGUGGUGAAAUUUUGAACUGGCCUUAUGCAGUGCCUGACAGCCAUUUUAAUCUGAUAUUUUUGGCUAUUCAAACUUGCUCAAAGUGCCAAAUCACUGAUCCAAAAACUUUUGAAUCCUGUGCUGAAAUCUGCAUAAUGCAUUGGUUAUGAUUUAGCUUGAAAUGGCAACUCAUAGAGUCAAAUUUUGAUUCAUGAAUGAACUGUUUCAUUUGGCCAUUGAUAAAAGUCACAUUUGGUCAAUAAAAGUUGCUGAAAGCUUUCAAUUUGCAAAUUACCAUUGUCUGCUAAAUAUAGUUAAUCAGGUUUCAUUGUUUCAGCCAAAUUUUUUUUGUGAAUAAGUUGCAGUGUGAUGUUACUGUUGCUGAUUAAUUGUGCAUCCAUAUUGUAAGAAUCUUGGCAGCAAAAUGCGUGGUUUCAGUCAUUAAAAUAAAAGAAUAGAAAGCAUAAUUCAAAAUAUAAUUAUAUGCUAAACUGGAAAAGUAAAUAGAACCCGUGCCAAGUGACAAAAUUUGCAACUGGAUGCAUAGUUAUCAGCCUUUCAUUAAGACAUUUCGUCGAACACUUUUGCAUAAAUCAUAAUUGAGUUGAAUUGGAUAUCAUUGCAACUUAUAUUUGUUUCUUGUUUUCUAAAUCUGAUCUAGAAUCAUUCCUAAGUUCCUUUUGAAGUGCUACCUAUUCUUGAUAACGCUUAAUUUCUUGAUUUCGAUUUGUUUGGAACUCUGCCCACCAACUGUUUGUGACAAUUACAGUGGGUGUGUUCUGAUUAUUCUCAUUGUAGCAAUAUAACCUAUCAAUUUCUGCCUUAACACCUGCUGUUUGUGGAUCGGUGUGAGUGCUUUUGUGGUUGCAGAUCAGUUCCAGUUGGCUUUCUAGUCUUGGUAGCACCUUAGGAAGAGGUUUGGGUGAGUGAAAAGAUCAAAGGAAGAAGCAAAUUGGUACAAGCCGUAAGCUGCAGAAUUCUUUACAACAGUGUGACAGAAUCCUCACCUUGCAGCUGUGAGCUUUGUGAGAGUCCAAGUGCAGAAGCAAAUUUUCUUGAGAGAAUCCAAAGCUGCUACUACUUUCUUUUACUACUUCUGAGUGCUGAAACAAAAAUAUCAAAACCUGUAGCUAAUUAAUCUUUGACUUAACCAAGGAAUUAUCAAUUGUGAAGGAUUGCAUCAGUGAUUGCAGAUUGCUUACUUGCUCGUGUACACCAAGCUGAGAACAAAGUUCUGCAAAGCAAAGGAAAACCUUCUAAGUUGCCGCAACAAAAACCGUGACAACAGUUAGACAUGAUCCAAAACUGUUCAAAAUUGUUGAGCAUGAUAUCUCUGCAGAAUACACCAAACCGUGACGACAACAUUUGUGUAGUAAUAGUUGUUUUGUUUGUUUUGAAUUUUGUAAUAGGUUUUUCUUUUGUUAGAUUUCUUUAAAUUGUAAAAGGCCAUUGCAAGUCCAAGUGGUGUGAGAAGAGUCCUUGGUGCUCUUUCUUUCCAA